rnacentral:piRNA from 1 species
UGCAUUCUGUUUAUGAUCCUGUGCCUCUUUGC